GACAAAUGUUAUACCUCUCUCAUAGCUUUAUUCACUUCAACAGUGCUCUCUCUCUCAUCAUAAGAGAAGAUUUGGUCAAUACAAGAAGCCAAAAAGCUUUUUGAUUUUGAUUUUUUUGGGCAAAGUUUCAGUGUUCAAACGCUUCUGUUUGUGGAAUCCAAAAUCAUCUCGUGACGGCUGAAUUUGAAUUUCAAAAGAUGAGACCUUAACCCCAAUUUUUUUGUCUAUAAAUACAUCUCAAUCUCUCAUCCAAUAGCACCCUGGAAACAUUGGAAAAUUUUCAUCAUUUCAUUAUCAAAAUACUUUCUCAAAGGCUUGAACACUCACAAUAACACCACUCUUUUACAUUUCAAUAUCAUCUUACGAAAACAUCUUUUACUCUACUCUCUAUUGCUUGACUUUGUCAGAGGAACGACUUAAGAUCCUUGAUCAACGACCUCAGUUCACUGCCCACAAACGUUGUAGACAGUUGCAGCAUCAAACGGUUUAUCAGUAAAAUUGGUCUCGACACACUGUGUGGUAAUCUCUCUCAAUCUCCAUUGAGUCUAAGUAGCCGAGACCAAUUUUACUGAUAUUCCUGCAAUUUCUAAAAGCUUCAAUGGUGCAUCUGUGGUUGAGAUCUAUGAGACAUCGAUGGGUGAUCAUUUUGCCUCACCUAGAGGUGGCGUCUUGAACCUGCAUGUAGACGACGCGAAGCAGAAGGUAUUUAUGAGAGGGAAUGUUGUGGCAGUCAUGGAAGGUUCUCUUCUAGUUUAAUGUCACAGUUCACAUCCAUGAUCUUUAUUCAUCUGCCACUAUCACAAAACUUUAAUAAUAUGUUGGAAGUAUGUGUCUAAAAUUUCUAAAUUGGUUUUUGGUAUGUACUUCACAAUGACUUUUUAAACAUCUUCAGUUUCUCAACCAUCAUCAGUUCAUUAGCCUACAAGUAGUGCUCGUGUCUUGUUAAUUUUGAAAUUGUGGGAAGCUACUCUUUUUAGGAUGAUAUUUCAGGUGUUUGGUUUUCAUUAUGGGUAAACUACAUAAAUCCCACAAGUUUAGAUCCUAAUUACUAGGAAUCUCGAUAGUUUUUGAUAUUACAUUCUAUACCAUUUUCGGCUAUUGGA